rnacentral:rRNA from 1 species
AUUGAACGCUGGCGGCAGGCCUAACACAUGCAAGUCGAGCGGUAGAGAGGAGCUUGCUUCUCUUGAGAGCGGCGGACGGGUGAGUAAUGCCUAGGAAUCUGCCUGGUAGUGGGGGAUAACGUUCGGAAACGGACGCUAAUACCGCAUACGUCCUACGGGAGAAAGUGGGGGAUCUUCGGACCUCACGCUAUCAGAUGAGCCUAGGUCGGAUUAGCUAGUUGGUGAGGUAAAGGCUCACCGAGGCGACGAUCCGUAACUGGUCUGAGAGGAUGAUCAGUCACACUGGAACUGAGACACGGUCCAGACUCCUACGGGAAGCAGCAGUGGGGAAUAUUGGACAAUGGGCGCAAGCCUGAUUCAGCCAUGCCGCGUGUGUGAAGAAGGUCUUCGGAUUGUAAAGCACUUUAAGUUGGGAGGUAGGUCAGUAGCUUAAUACGUUGCUGAUUUGACGUUACCGACAGAAUAAGCACCGGCUAACUCUGUGCCAGCCGCCGCCGUAAAAC